rnacentral:ncRNA from 2 species
ACACAUUAGUCGGGGAGCCGUAAGGCUGAGAUCGCAUGAGACCCGUUGAACCUGAUCCAAUUAGCAUUGGCGUAGGGAACUAAUAAGCCUAAGUU